rnacentral:rRNA from 1 species
CCUGACCCAGCGACACCGCAACCCAGGAUGACGCAUUUCCGUGGGUGAACUCCUUUUAUAGGGGAAGAUAAUGACCGUCCCUUAUGAAUAAACACCGGCUAACUCCGUGCCCGCCCCCCCGGUAAUACGGAGGGGGCACGCGUUACUCGAAAUCACUGGGCGUAAAGGAUGCGUAGGCUGUAAUAUAAGUCAAAAGUGAAAUCCAUCGGCUUAACCGUUGAACUGCUUUUGAAACUGUUUUACUACAAUAUGAUCCAGGUAGAUGGAAUUUUUUUGUGUUCGGGUAAAAUCCGUACAUAUCACCAGGAAUACCGAUUGCGAAGGCGAUCUACUGGAACAUUAUUGACGCUGAGGCAUGAAACCGUGGGGACCAAACCGGAUUAGAUACCCUGAAAGUCCACGCCCUACACGAUGCACACUAUGUGUUGCGAUGCUCUCCUUUGCAAUAAUGGACUUAACAGAUUAAGUGUGUUGCCUGGGGAGCACGGUCGCAAGAUUAAAACUCAAAGGAAUUGACGG